rnacentral:rRNA from 1 species
CAGCCGCCGCGGUAAUACGUGGGGUGCAAGCGUUAUCCGGAAUUAUUGGGCGUAAAGAGCUCGUAGGCGGCCUGUCGCGUCUGCUGUGAAAACUGGGGGCUCAACCCCCAGCCUGCAGUGGGUACGGGCAGACUAGAGUGCGGUAGGGGAGAUUGGAACUCCUGGUGUAGCGGUGGAAUGCGCAGAUAUCAGGAAGAACACCGAUGGCGAAGGCAGAUCUCUGGGCCGUAACUGACGCUGAGGAGCGAAAGCAUGGGGAGCGAACAGGAUUAGAUACCCCCGUAGUCCCUGUCUCUUAUAC